GACGAACGCUGGCGGCGUGCUUAACACAUGCAAGUCGAACGGAAAGGCCUCUUUCGGGGGGUACUCGAGUGGCGAACGGGUGAGUAACACGUGAGUAACCUGCCCUUGACUUUGGGAUAACUUCAGGAAACUGGGGCUAAUACCGGAUAGGAGCUCCUGCUGCAUGGUGGGGGUUGGAAAGUUUCGGCGGUUGGGGAUGGACUCGCGGCUUAUCAGCUUGUUGGUGGGGUAGCGGCUUACCAAGGCUUUGACGGGUAGCCGGCCUGAGAGGGUGACCGGCAACAUUGGGACUGAGAUACGGCCCAGACUCCUACGGGAGGCAGCAGUGGGGAAUAUUGCACAAUGGGUGGAAGCCUGAUGCAGCAACGCCGUGUGCGGGAUGACGGCCUUCGGGUUGUAAACCGCUUUCGCUCAUGACGAAGCUUUGUGUGACGGUAGUGGGUAAAGAAGCACCGGCUAACUACGUG
rnacentral:rRNA from 1 species